CUGUCACUUAUAGAUGGACCCGCGGCGUAUUAGCUAGUUGGUAGGUAACGGCUUACCAAGGCAACGAUACGUACGACCUGAGAGGGUGAUCGGCCACACUGGAACUGAGACACGGUCCAGACUCCUACGGGAGGCAGCAGUAGGGAAUCUUCCGCAAUGGGCGAAAGCCUGACGGAGCAACGCCGCGUGAGUGAUGAAGGUCUUCGGAUCGUAAAACUCUGUUAUUAGAAGAACAAGGAUGUAAGUAACUAUGCAUCCCUUGACGGUACCUAAUCAGAAAGCCACGGCUAACUACGUGCCAGCAGCCGCGGUAAUACGUAGGUGGCAAGCGUUAUCCGGAAUUAUUGGGCGUAAAGCGCGCGUAGGCGUUUUUUAAGUCUGAUGUGAAAGCCCACGGCUCAACCGUGGAGGGUCAUUGGAAACUGGAAAACUUGAGUGCAGAAGAGGAAAGUGGAAUUCCAUGUGUAGCGGUGAAAUGCGCAGAGAUAUGGAGGAACACCAGUGGCGAAGGCGACUUUCUGGUCUGCAACUGACCUGAUGUGCGAAAGCGUGGGGAUCAAACAGGGAUUAGAUACCCUGGUAGUCCACGCCGUAAACGAUGAGUGCUAAGUGUUAGGGGGGUUUCCGCCCCUUAGUGCUGCAGCUAACGCAUUAAGCACUCCGCCUGGGGAGUACGGCCGCAAGGCUGAAACUCAAAGGAAUUGACGGGGACCCGCACAAGCGGUGAGCAUGUGGUUUAAUUCGAAGCAACGCGAAGAACCUUACCAAAUCUUGACAUCCUUUGACCUCUAGAGAUAGAGCCUUCCCCUUCGGGGGACAAAGUGACAGGUGUGCAUGGUUGUCGUCAGCUCGUGUCGUGAGAUGUUGGGUUAAGUCCCGCAACGAGCGCAACCCUUAAGCUUAGUUGCCAGCAUUAAGUUGGCACUCUAAGUUGACUGCCGGUGACAAACCGGAGGAAGGUGGGGAUGACGUCAAAUCAUCAUGCCCCUUAU
rnacentral:rRNA from 1 species